rnacentral:rRNA from 2 species
UACGUAGGGGGCAAGCGUUGUCCGGAUUUAUUGGGCGUAAAGAGCGUGUAGGCGGCCAGGUAGGUCGGUUGUGAAAACUGGAGGCUCAACCUUCAGACGUCGACCGAAACCAUCUGGCUAGAGUCCGGAAGAGGAGAGUGGAAUUCCUGGUGUAGCGGUGGAAUGCGCAGAUAUCAGGAAGAACACCCGUGGCGAAGGCGGCUCUCUGGGACGGUACUGACGCUGAGACGCGAAAGCGUGGGGAGCGAACAGG